GGUGCAAAGAUUAAUUGCUGGAUCGCCAGAAGGGCAGCUUGAUAAUAACCUUUAUCUAGCCGAACCUGCAUCUUCUACAAAGAAAUUGCCUUCAGAAUCCCCCACAAAGAAAUUGCCUUCAGAAAGUGUUCAACAACUACCAUCCCAGAUUGCUGAUCCAAAAAAUGGUUCUCAGAAGCAAGACUCUAACAAUGAAGGUGCAGUCAAGGAUGCAGUUGGGAACCCUCCUUUU
rnacentral:lncRNA from 1 species